UGUAUCUUUAGAUAUUUUGGAGAUAAAUACGAUGAGGAAUGUAAUACAUUUUGUUGGAUAACACGUGACUGUAUCCACGUGACACGUAACUGUAGCCACGUGAUGGUUCUGAACAGACGGAUGCAAGGCUGACUGGCAAAGAGAGGAUUGUUUCCAAUAAUGAAUGAUAAGAAAUACUUUAUUUAAGAUUUUGCGUUUUUAGUCCAAUUGAAAGAAAAACCCGACUGACAAUCCCGGUUUGAUGGAGUUCUUGUUACGCUUUGUGUAGAAGUCUUCACUGUAUAGGUGUUUCUACUGCAACGGUACAUAAAGUGGCGAUUUAACGGUGCGUGACAUAUAUUGUGAAACACCCUGUAUAUUGAAAUUAUAUCCACUGGGGAUAGAGUUGGGCCACAAAAGGAGAAAACUUCACAUGGGAAUAUUUUGGAAAACAAAUUUUCUCAAUAACAGUAUAAAACAUCCAAAUAUGAAACAGAUGGCGC